rnacentral:rRNA from 1 species
CCCUCUAGAGAUAGAGUUUUCCCCUUCGGGGGACAGAGUGACAGGUGGUGCAUGGUUGUCGUCAGCUCGUGUCGUGAGAUGUUGGGUUAAGUCCCGCAACGAGCGCAACCCUUAAGCUUAGUUGCCAUCAUUAAGUUGGGCACUCUAAGUUGACUGCCGGUGACAAACCGGAGGAAGGUGGGGAUGACGUCAAAUCAUCAUGCCCCUUAUGAUUUGGGCUACACACGUGCUACAAUGGACAAUACAAAGGGUAGCGAAACCGCGAGGUCAAGCAAAUCCCAUAAAGUUGUUCUCAGUUCGGAUUGUAGUCUGCAACUCGACUAUAUGAAGCUGGAAUCGCUAGUAAUCGUAGAUCAGCAUGCUACGGUGAAUACGUUCCCGGGUCUUGUACACACCGCCCGUCACACCACGAGAGUUUGUAACACCCGAAGCCGGUGGAGUAACCAUUUGGAGCUAGCCGUCGAAGGUGGGACAAAUGAUUGGGGUGAAGUCGUAACAAGGUAGCCGUAUCGGAAGGUGCGGCUGGAUCACCUCCUUU